AAAUAGAGACGUUAUCCAGGCUGCAGCUGUGCGACACCCACACCGUCUUUUGCACUUCGGUACACAACUCUUCAGUGUUGAAGAUGGGGCAUCUCACACUUGCGGCUGUGAUAGCAGUCAUCUUUACUUUCUUCACUGAAACUGAAGCAAAUCCAUUUGUUUAUAACUAUGAAAGGCUUCGGAUUGCAGGCCUCGUCGUUUCUGGACUUUUGUUCUUUGGAGGAGUCGGUGUUUUGAUGUACAACAAGUGCUCCAGAGGCUCCAAGAAAGGCGAAGAUGACAGCAGUGAAAUCUGAGAUGGAACCCGACAAACCGGUUUCCUUGUGGGAGAAGAGCAGACCGAGAGAGGUGGAAAUAAAGGGUGGCUGGACUUUUGUAGGAAAUAUUCCAUUUUUUGGUUGAUCUGUAUAUUUCAGGGGGGAAAUAGCAUCUGGUUAAGAGGUGCGAUGUUGUAUUGUUUGCCUGAUAAGUCACUGAUGAUCCUUGGAUUAUGUUAUGCAUGCAAAAUGCAAAAGCCUGUGUAAUAACUACAUGGUGCUUUGGUAUUUGAUGAAUUAUAUGCUUCAACUAGCUCGUUCCUUUGUUGGUCAAACAUCUCAAUCUAAAAAAUGUGUGUUCGAGUCAAUCGGUGUAUUCGGUCAAAUUAAAGAAAAACUGUUUUGAAAA